GAGACUGUCAGGAUCACCUGGUCUGGGAGUAGCUACAGCAACUAUGCCUGGUUCCAGCAGAAGGUCCCUGGCAGUGGCCCUGUCACUGUGAUCUACAAC